rnacentral:rRNA from 1 species
AGUGACGGACGGGUGAGUAACGCGUGAGAAUCUGCCUUCAGGAUGGGGACAACAGUUGGAAACGACUGCUAAUACCCAAUAUGCCUACGGGUGAAACCUUUUUUGGCCUGAAGAUGAGCUCGCGUCUGAUUAGCUAGUUGGUGGUGUAAUAGACUCACCAAGGCAACGAUCAGUAGCUGGUCUGAUAGGAUGAGCAGCCACACUGGGACUGAGACACGGCCCAGACUCCUACGGGAGGCAGCAGUGGGGAAUUUUCCGCAAUGGGCGAAAGCCUGACGGAGCAAUACCGCGUGAGGGAGGAAGGUUCUUGGAUUGUAAACCUCUUUUCUCAGGGAAGAAAAAAAUGACGGUACCUGAGGAAUAAGCAUCGGCUAACUCCGUGCCAGCAGCCGCGGUAAUACGGGGGAUGCAAGCGUUAUCCGGAAUUAUUGGGCGUAAAGAGUCCGUAGGUGGUCUUACAAGUCGACUGUCAAAGCCCGCAGCUUAACUGCGGAGAGGCGGUGGAAACUGUGAGACUUGAGUAUGGUAGGGGUAGAGGGAAUUCCCAGUGUAGCGGUGAAAUGCGUAGAUAUUGGGAAGAACACCGGUGGCGAAAGCGCUCUACUGGACCAUAACUGACACUGAGGGACGAAAGCCAAGGUAGCGAAAGGGAUUAGAUACCCC